rnacentral:rRNA from 1 species
CGAACGCUGGCGGCGCGCCUAACACAUGCAAGUCGAACGAGCGAGAGAGAGUUUACUUUUUCGAGCGAGUGGCGAACGGGUGAGUAACGCGUGAGGAACCUGCCUCAAAGAGGGGGACAACAGUUGGAAACGACUGCUAAUACCGCAUAAGCCCACGACCCGGCAUCGGGUAGAGGGAAAAGGAGCAAUCCGCUUUGAGAUGGCCUCGCGUCCGAUUAGCUAGUUGGUGAGGUAAUGGCCCACCAAGGCGACGAUCGGUAGCCGGACUGAGAGGUUGAACGGCCACAUUGGGACUGAGACACGGCCCAGACUCCUACGGGAGGCAGCAGUGGGGAAUAUUGCACAAUGGGGGAAACCCUGAUGCAGCGACGCCGCGUGGAGGAAGAAGGUCUUCGGAUUGUAAACUCCUGUUGUUGAGGAAGAUAAUGACGGUACUCAACAAGGAAGUGACGGCUAACUACGUGCCAGCAGCCGCGGUAAAACGUAGGUCACAAGCGUUGUCCGGAAUUACUGGGUGUAAAGGGAGCGCAGGCGGGAAGACAAGUUGGAAGUGAAAUCCAUGGGCUCAACCCAUGAACUGCUUUCAAAACUGUUUUUCUUGAGUAGUGCAGAGGUAGGCGGAAUUCCCGGUGUAGCGGUGGAAUGCGUAGAUAUCGGGAGGAACACCAGUGGCGAAGGCGGCCUACUGGGCACCAACUGACG